UGAAGGCUUUCAUGGCCUUGAAGGCACGGGAGGAAACUCCCCCUCAUGUCACCACUGAGGACAUGAAGUCCUGGCUCACCUCAAAGGCUACUGCAGCUUUCAGUGACAGAUUUCAGAAUGAAAUCAGUCAGGGCAAAGAUCUCUGUGUUGUCCAGCUGACGUGGGAAGUGAACACUCGCCUGAAGCUUGAUGAGAUGGAGAGAGAGCAGAAGCAUGGGACCAUGUUUCCAGUCUCCUCUGGUUCCAACGGGAACAGCCCCUCCAUCAAGCCAGUCAGGGAGUCACUACCGUCUCUUCA